CACACGACUCUCGGCAACGGAUAUCUCGGCUCUCGCGUCGAUGAAGAACGUAGCGAAAUGCGAUACCUGGUGUGAAUUGCAGAAUCCCGCGAACCAUCGAGUCUUUGAACGCAAGUUGCGCCCGAGGCCACCCGGCCGAGGGCACGCCUGCCUGGGCGUCACGC
rnacentral:rRNA from 1 species